CAGCAGCCGCGGGAAUACGUAGGUGGCAAGCGUUGUCCGGAAUUAUUGGGCGUAAAGGGCUCGCAGGCGGUUUCUUAAGUCUGAUGUGAAAGCCCCCGGCUCAACCGGGGAGGGUCAUUGGAGACUGGGAAACUUGAGUGCAGAAGAGGAGAGUGGAAUUCCACGUGUAGCGGUGAAAUGCGUAGAGAUGUGGAGGAACACCAGUGGCGAAGGCGACUCUCUGGUCUGUAACUGACGCUGAGGAGCGAAAGCGUGGGGAGCAAACAGGAUUAGAUACCCCAGUAGUCCCUGUCUCUUAUAA
rnacentral:rRNA from 1 species